rnacentral:tRNA from 1 species
GUCCCUGUAGCUCAGUUGGUAGAGCAUGGUGUUUGCAAUGCCAGGGUUGUGGGUUCAAUUCCCACGGGGGGCA